GCACUGGGGAAGGACGUCUUUCUGAAGAUUUCUCCUUUUGGAGUUUUCUACUGCAAGCUUAGGAUACUGAGAGAUGGGUAUAAAGCUAUGUAAGACUUUGUGGCCAUCUACAAUGGAUGUGGGACAUCACUGUGAGCAUUACUGUACUGUGAAAGCAAUUCAAAGCUAGCAGAUGAAAACACCAGAAGCCCACAUGAUUUGUCCUAUAAUCAAGUCUUUUUUCUACAUACUCAAGGAAGUGGUUAAACGGCUGAGAGUCAUAAAAGAGCAGGAAGAAUUUUUAAGAUGCAGAGAAAUUAAACUUGCUCCAGUUUUCAAAGUUUUAAACGUAGUGUUCACUUUGCUUCCCCUUGAAGAAGCAGUUUUAUAGAGAAAAACUGAGUCUUGGCAUAAUCUGUUCUCUAGAGGGUCUGCAGUCCCUGUGCUGCUCACUCUCAGGAGAGCAGCUCCACGAGGAGACAGCAGCUCCCCUGCGUGCUUGUGUUUCCGCGAGAGGAGACAGAGACUUGUGUUUCCGCGAGAGGAGACAGAGACUUGUGUUUCCGCGAGAGGAGACAGAGACUUGUGUUUCCGCGAGAGGAGACAGAGACUUGUGUUUCCGCGAGAGGAGACAGAGAUGUCCAAGGAACAGGAGAAGAACUGUUCUCAGCUCAACAAAGGGCUGCCGAGUGUGCGAGAACGCCGCCAGGUGGGCAGCAGGCCACUGCAAGCUGUGCUGCCAGGCAGCUGGAACCAGGAAUCAUCCCUCCGUGAGGUUCAUCUGCCGUCACUACCCCACCUGGAGAGCACUCAUGCCUCUGGGAGUCACAGUGCACAGGCGGACAGGAAGAAGCUCAGGCAGGCACCGCCCCACAGCAGUGACUCCAGGGAGGGCAGACAGCAACCUUUGCCAAGGCAGGCAAUGCCACUGGCAGGUGCACCCCGGCAUGCAGCUUCUGCACGUACAGAAGUUCACAAAUCGCCCCCUCUGCAAGCACCAACCUCCAUACAUUCCCCAAGAAGCAGUCACCAUGCUAUGGGAUCUACAGCUUGCAGACUGCCCCCACUUGUUCCAUGUCCUCCAGGCAAUGCUCAGCAGCAGGAUAUGCCAGCGAGGGCCAAGAACUGGGAGGCAGAUAAGCUAGUCCCUAUGCCCCCCCUCCAACCAGCACAUAAAACAACUAAGUCGCUAGCGUUGGCAUAUCUUAGGCGUCCAGUAGCUGCAAAAAUGGCAGAAGUUUGCCAGAAGCCAGUCGCCGCAAGACCAAAACCUUGCUGGAAACCGGCACCUCCACAGCAAGGCCCACCCACCCGCACUGUGGGAGCACCAAGAACAACUGCUCCAGUGCUGGUCCCUGAGGCUGGGAGUGGCCCUGCAGAUGAGGUGCUACCAGAUCCCAGUGCUCAAGAGGGCGUAAGAGAUGCUGAUGGGGCUUCUACCGCAGCACAGCAGGCAGCGGAUGAUGGUGCCGAAGCUGCGGGUAUUCCUCGGGGCAUGCCGUCUUCCAAGGAUGUUGAAAAGAAGAUGCGCUCCUGGGUGAAAGAGCACAUGUUCUUACCCUGCUUACUUUGCGCUUCCCGAGACGUUGUUCUGGUGGACGUACAGGAAGAGAGGAAAGACACCCCUGAGAGAGAGGCUGCAGCAGAGGCAGCUGACGUCUCGUUGAGAACACCGUCUGGUGAGGCAGAGGCCCAGCCUGCAGCUUCUGCUGUGUCUGUGCACUCUCAGGACAAGGCAGACAAGCUGGAGCUCAGGCAGGCACAGGCCCCCAGCAGUGUCUCCAAGAAAGGGAGACAGCCUCAGUCAACUUCUGGAGCAUCUCUCUUUGUUCCUGUACCCCCACUCCAGCCUGCACAUGCCACACAAAAGUCACUCCAGUUGACAUAUUGUGGAUAUCCAGUAGCCGCAAGACCAAAACCCAGACAGAAACCAGCAGGUCCACAGCAAGGCACACCCACCCGCACUCUGAGAACAAGAAGAACUGGCCGGGUGCUGGCCCCCAAGGCUGGAAGUGGCUCUGCAGAUGAGGCACCAGGUCCCAGUGCUCAAGAGGGCGGAAGAGAUGAUGAUGAUGAUGAUGGGGCUUCCACCUCAUGUUCUGUCGCAGCACAACAGGCAGCAGAUGAUGGUGUCAAAGAGGCUGGGACUUCUCAGAAUAUGUCGGGUGCCAUGUACAUGCGCUAUAGGCCACUCUCCCUUAUGAGAGUGCGUGUGUACUUGUCCUGCAGUCGUUGCAAUUGCAAAUACGUUGUUGAGAGGGAUGUCAGGAAGAGUUGGAGGGUACCCCUGAGCGAGAUGCUGCAGCAUAGGAAGCCAGUGAGAACGCCAUCUGGUGAGGCAGAGGCCCAUCGUCCAGCUUCCUCUGUGGCUGCUCAUAGCAGGCAUACCUAGCCCCAGCUCACUGCCAGAUGACUUGGGAGACCACAAGCCCAUGCUUUUUUCUGUGGGACAAUUGAGAAGACAGCCCUAAGUAAAACGGAGCAGCAGAGGCAGCCAACAUCCCAGCAAGCAUGUCUAGAGCCCAGUCUCGUGAGGCAGAGGCCAAGCCUUUGGCUUCUGGUGUGGCUGCGAACCCAACAGCACCAGGUCCUUCUAGGUGCCAGUGAGGCUGACGGUCCACCUUUGCCAGGAUGGCACUCUGGGCUCUGAGCAGGGCUUUCACCUGAAGCUGCGUCAAGGGACAGCAGGAGGAAGAGUCACGAGGUUGCUGGUACCAGGCAGCUCCCUGCAGAUGGCUGCUGCCA